CCAGGUGGUGGCGCCGAUGGUGCGCAGCUGGCCGCGCGCCAGCGCGGGCUUCAGCAGGUUCGCCGCAUCGCCGGUUCCCUGCUGGCCGCCUGCGCCA
rnacentral:tRNA from 1 species